rnacentral:ribozyme from 1 species
UUUGUUUUUUCUUUGCUCCCCGAGGGGGGUGGGAUUUUGACAAGAGCCAGAUUAGAGCAAGAGGCAGCUUCCUUAAUGCAAGAAUAAGAACAGAGUAGAAACAGAAUGUACAUGUAUGUAUAUGUUUUUCUCAUAUUA